rnacentral:rRNA from 1 species
CAAGGUGAGAGAUACGGAGGUAGAGCACUGAAUGUCCUAGGGGGUAUUGCACCUACCGAAGACUAUCAAACUCCGAAUGCCGUCAUCUUAUACUUGGGAGUCAGACUGGGGGUGAUAAGAUUCAUAGUCGAAAGGGCAACAGCCCAGAUCGUCAGCUAAGGGCCCUAAAUGUAAGUUAAGUGGGAAAGGAUGUGGGAUUGCACAGACAACCAGGAUGUUGGCUUAGAAGCAGCCACUCAUUCAAAGAGUGCGUAAUAGCUCACUGGUCGAGUGAUCCUGCGCCGAAGAUUUCCGGGGCUAAAACUUACUAC